UAGUCUGCAUUGAAAUAUAAGUAUAUUUUUGUUUUUAAGAUACGUAAUCUGACAAGACAAUUAAAUGAGCAAAAAGAUUUGAUACUUAGUUUGACAAACCAGUUAAAAGAGCAAAGAGAUCAGUUGCAGUUGCUAUUCAAGAAAACUGAUGAGAUAGCAAACUUAACCCGUGAGGAAACUAAAAAUUUAACAAAAAAAAUUGAAAUCAAAAUGAAGAUAUUUUUCGA
rnacentral:lncRNA from 1 species